UGAACGCUAGCUACAGGCUUAACACAUGCAAGUCGAGGGGCAGCAUGGUCUUAGCUUGCUAAGGCCGAUGGCGACCGGCGCACGGGUGAGUAACACGUAUCCAACCUGCCGUCUACUCUUGGACAGCCUUCUGAAAGGAAGAUUAAUACAAGAUGGCAUCAUGAGUCCACAUGUUCACAUGAUUAAAGGUAUUCCGGUAGACGAUGGGGAUGCGUUCCAUUAGAUAGUAGGCGGGGUAACGGCCCACCUAGUCUUCGAUGGAUAGGGGUUCUGAGAGGAAGGUCCCCCACAUUGGAACUGAGACACGGUCCAAACUCCUACGGGAGGCAGCAGUGAGGAAUAUUGGUCAAUGGGCGAGAGCCUGAACCAGCCAAGUAGCGUGAAGGAUGACUGCCCUAUGGGUUGUAAACUUCUUUUAUAAAGGAAUAAAGUCGGGUAUGCAUACCCGUUUGCAUGUACUUUAUGAAUAAGGAUCGGCUAACUCCGUGCCAGCAGCCGCGGUAAUACGGAGGAUCCGAGCGUUAUCCGGAUUUAUUGGGUUUAAAGGGAGCGUAGAUGGAUGUUUAAGUCAGUUGUGAAAGUUUGCGGCUCAACCGUAAAAUUGCAGUUGAUACUGGAUAUCUUGAGUGCAGUUGAGGCAGGCGGAAUUCGUGGUGUAGCGGUGAAAUGCUUAGAUAUCACGAAGAACUCCGAUUGCGAAGGCAGCCUGCUAAGCUGCAACUGACAUUGAGGCUCGAAAGUGUGGGUAUCAAACAGGAUUAGAUACCCUGGUAGUCCACACGGUAAACGAUGAAUACUCGCUGUUUGCGAUAUACAGCAAGCGGCCAAGCGAAAGCGUUAAGUAUUCCACCUGGGGAGUACGCCGGCAACGGUGAAACUCAAAGGAAUUGACGGGGGCCCGCACAAGCGGAGGAACAUGUGGUUUAAUUCGAUGAUACGCGAGGAACCUUACCCGGGCUUAAAUUGCAGAUGAAUUACGGUGAAAGCCGUAAGCCGCAAGGCAUCUGUGAAGGUGCUGCAUGGUUGUCGUCAGCUCGUGCCGUGAGGUGUCGGCUUAAGUGCCAUAACGAGCGCAACCCUUGUUGUCAGUUACUAGCAGGUCAUGCUGAGGACUCUGACAAGACUGCCAUCGUAAGAUGUGAGGAAGGUGGGGAUGACGUCAAAUCAGCACGGCCCUUACGUCCGGGGCUACACACGUGUUACAAUGGGGGGUACAGAGGGCCGCUACCACGCGAGUGGAUGCCAAUCCCAAAAACCUCUCUCAGUUCGGACUGGAGUCUGCAACCCGACUCCACGAAGCUGGAUUCGCUAGUAAUCGCGCAUCAGCCACGGCGCGGUGAAUACGUUCCCGGGCCUUGUACACACCGCCCGUCAAGCCAUGGGAGCCGGGGGUACCUGAAGUGCGUAACCGCGAGGAGCGCCCUAGGGUAAAACUGG
rnacentral:rRNA from 1 species